AACUUCCGUUAAUUGAUUAUGACGUACUUGUACUGAUUGAGAUUUUAACACGAAGUGAGUGGCGAACGGGUGAGUAACACGUGGGUAACCUGCCCAGAAGUAGGGGAUAACACCUGGAAACAGAUGCUAAUACCGUAUAACAGAGAAAACCGCAUGGUUUUCUUUUAAAAGAUGGCUCUGCUAUCACUUCUGGAUGGACCCGCGGCGUAUUAGCUAGUUGGUGAGGUAAAGGCUCACCAAGGCAGUGAUACGUAGCCGACCUGAGAGGGUAAUCGGCCACAUUGGGACUGAGACACGGCCCAGACUCCUACGGGAGGCAGCAGUAGGGAAUCUUCCACAAUGGACGCAAGUCUGAUGGAGCAACGCCGCGUGAGUGAAGAAGGGUUUCGGCUCGUAAAGCUCUGUUGUUAAAGAAGAACGUGGGUAAGAGUAACUGUUUACCCAGUGACGGUAUUUAACCAGAAAGCCACGGCUAACUACGUGCCAGCAGCCGCGGUAAUACGUAGGUGGCAAGCGUUAUCCGGAUUUAUUGGGCGUAAAGCGAGCGCAGGCGGUCUUUUAAGUCUAAUGUGAAAGCCUUCGGCUCAACCGAAGAAGUGCAUUGGAAACUGGGAGACUUGAGUGCAGAAGAGGACAGUGGAACUCCAUGUGUAGCGGUGAAAUGCGUAGAUAUAUGGAAGAACACCAGUGGCGAAGGCGGCUGUCUGGUCUGCAACUGACGCUGAGGCUCGAAAGCAUGGGUAGCGAACAGGAUUAGAUACCCUGGUAGUCCAUGCCGUAAACGAUGAUUACUAAGUGUUGGAGGGUUUCCGCCCUUCAGUGCUGCAGCUAACGCAUUAAGUAAUCCGCCUGGGGAGUACGACCGCAAGGUUGAAACUCAAAAGAAUUGACGGGGGCCCGCACAAGCGGUGGAGCAUGUGGUUUAAUUCGAAGCUACGCGAAGAACCUUACCAGGUCUUGACAUCUUCUGACAGUCUAAGAGAUUAGAGGUUCCCUUCGGGGACAGAAUGACAGGUGGUGCAUGGUUGUCGUCAGCUCGUGUCGUGAGAUGUUGGGUUAAGUCCCGCAACGAGCGCAACCCUUAUUACUAGUUGCCAGCAUUAAGUUGGGCACUCUAGUGAGACUGCCGGUGACAAACCGGAGGAAGGUGGGGACGACGUCAAAUCAUCAUGCCCCUUAUGACCUGGGCUACACACGUGCUACAAUGGAUGGUACAACGAGUCGCGAGACCGCGAGGUUAAGCUAAUCUCUUAAAACCAUUCCCAGUUCGGACUGUAGGCUGCAACUCGCCUACACAAAGU
rnacentral:rRNA from 1 species